rnacentral:rRNA from 1 species
UGUAAGCGUAUACCAAAGUUGUUGCAGUUAAAACGCUCGUAGUCGGAAUUUGGCAGUUCCGGAUGUGUGCACGUCGUGUGCGCACUUCGCGGGGAUUGCUUUUGUGGUCUUGCGUAGGAUGAGGCACUUUUAUUAGUGAACGUCCUCACGCAACCACUUUUUACUGUGAGAAAAUCAGAGUGCUCAAAGCAGGCAUUUGCCGUGAAUGUAUUAGCAUGGAAUAAUAGAAUAGGACUUGGUUCUAUUUUGUUGGUUUGUUGGGACUGAGUAAUGAUUAAGAGGGACAGUUGGGGGCAUUUGUAUUUCGGUGCUAGAGGUGAAAUUCUUAGAUUACCGAAAGACAAACUGCUGCGAAAGCGUCUGCCAAGGAUGUAUUCAUUGA